GUGGAGUCCUCACGGGGUCCCGAGUUGAUGAUGGCGCUGACCAGGAUCUGCAAAGAGGACACAAAGAAAAAUCGAAAUGAGAAAACAAGAAGAGGAUUUGAUAUCUUCAGGCACUAGGACAUUAAAACCUUGGGUUCGCUCUGCGUGCCCAUUCUACCCAUGGCCGAGUGGCAAAGUUCUCUGGCCACAGUUUAGCAUGGGCCGCUCGUUGGAAGUGGAAACAUUUGGACGGGAUGGGCAUGUUUACCUGCAGAGGGUUCUCCCCGGUGAGCAGAUGGAUGAUCUCGAACGAGUGCUUGACGAUGCGGCAGGCCAUCAGCUUCUUGCCGUUGUUGCGACCCUUCAUCAUCAGGGAACAGGUCAAACGCUCCACAAUGGGGCACUGGGCCUU